rnacentral:rRNA from 1 species
AUUGAACGCUGGCGGCAUGCCUAACACAUGCAAGUCGAACGGCAGCACGGGAGCUUGCUCCUGGUGGCGAGUGGCGGACGGGUGAGUAAUGCAUAGGAAUCUGCCCAGUAGCGGGGGACAACUUGGGGAAACUCAAGCUAAUACCGCAUGCGCCCUACGGGGGAAANCGGGGGACCUUCGGGCCUCGCACUAUUGGAUGAGCCUAUGUCAGAUUAGCUUGUUGGUGGGUAACGGCCUACCAAGGCGACGAUCUGUAGCUGGUCUGAGAGGACGAUCAGCCACACUGGAACUGAGACACGGUCCAGACUCCUACGGGAGGCAGCAGUGGGGAAUAUUGCGCAAUGGGCGAAAGCCUGACGCAGCCAUGCCGCGUGUGUGAGAAGGCCCUUGGGUUGUAAAGCACUUUCAAUUGGGAAGAAAGGUUGCGUGUUAAUAGCACGUAGCUGUGACGUUACCUUUAGAAGAAGCACCGGCUAACUCCGUG